rnacentral:rRNA from 1 species
ACCGUCGUCAGCUUACCCUGUGAAGGCCCAAUAGUAAGCAAGAUUGGCACUGCCCAAAACGCCAGGUCGAGGUGUAGCGUAUGGAAGGGGAAGCAAUGGGCUACAUUCACUAAUAAUAGUGAAUACGAAUAGUGCACUGAAACGUGCUCAUUGAAGGAGGAUUUAGCAGUAAGCAGGAAAUAGAGUGUUCUGCUGAAACCGGCCCUGAAGCGCGCACAUACCGCCCGUCACUCUCCCCAAAUUCCACUAAUACAAAUGCCUAAGUCAUAAAAAAACACGAAGGGGAGGCAAGUCGUAACAUGGUAAGCGUACCGGAAGGUGCGCUUGGAUAAG